GACGAACGCUGGCGGCGUGCCUAACACAUGCAAGUCGAGCGGGGUCCAUCCGGUAGCAAUACUGGGGAAGACCUAGCGGCGAACGGGUGAGUAACACGUGAGAAACCUGCCCCGAAGUCUGGGAUAACCCGAGGAAACUCGAGCUAAUACCGGAUGCCUUCUUCUGAUCGCAUGGUCGGAUGAAGAAAGAUUUAUCGCUUCGGGAGGGUCUCGCGGCCUAUCAGCUAGUUGGCGGGGUAACGCCCACAAGGCGUCGACGGGUAGCUGGUCUGAGAGGACGAUCAGCCACACUGGGACUGAGACACGGCCCAGACUCCUACGGGAGGCAGCAGUGGGGAAUAUUGCGCAAUGGGCGAAAGCCUGACGCAGCAACGCCGCGUGCGGGGAU
rnacentral:rRNA from 1 species